UACGAAGGGGGCUAGCGUUGCUCGGAAUUACUGGGCGUAAAGCGCGCGUAGGCGGACCUGCAAGUCGGGGGUGAAAGCCCGAGGCUCAACCUCGGAACUGCCUUCGAUACUGCGGGUCUCGAGUCCGGGAGAGGUGAGUGGAAUUCCUAGUGUAGAGGUGAAAUUCGUAGAUAUUAGGAAGAACACCAGUGGCGAAGGCGGCUCACUGGCCCGGUACUGACGCUGAGGCGCGAAAGCGUGGGGAGCAAGCAGG
rnacentral:rRNA from 1 species